CUAAAACAAAUUUGGUCAAUUUCAUAUACUAUACGAAAAAAAUUAUACUCAAAUUUGAAUUUAUAUUUACAAUAAACAGAAUUGAUAAAUGAAAUUUAGCCGCGUAGACAUUUGUAUAGAAUAAAUCUCUACCAUUACAUAUCCCAAUCUCGAUUUCAACAUAUCUAACCUAUAAAUCAAAUAGCCAUUGGGCCUUGAAGAGUAUUGCUAGGCUUCCAUCAUGGUUGUGUCCAUGUAACCACUUCUAAUCAAAUUGGUGCCCUCUAACGAAGCCGAAACUGGGCCGAUUGAAAGCAACGCAUGUCCAUAAAAGGGUGAAUAUCAUCUUCAGUACCUUGGGGCCCUCAAAUUGGUGGCAGAUCAUGAAGCAAUCUUUAGCUAAAAAACCAAAUCUUGCUAGGUAAAAUUUGUACAAACCCAAUAAUGCCCGGGCCCAACUAAACCUAGAAUGGCCCAACACCUAACCCAAACUAAACAGCCCACUAACUAAAUUCCAGCAGCAACCCUAGCAGCAUACAACCUUCAACCCUAGCCGCCGCACAUCAGCCCUGCACCACCACCCUUUGCGCACGUACGUGUCCCACGUACAUCCCCAGUUGGCUGAAUCUGAGCAACAAACGGCAAAACAGACGCAAAGAACAAGUAAACGAAAGAGAAAAACGCAAAAAAGGAGAGAACAACGGAAAUACAAAGUUGUUGUGUUAUUUCUUUGAUUUUUUCUUUAUUUUUUCGGCUAUAUAAAGUCGAGGAAAAUCUGUAAAUAUGGGGGGAUUUUUGGUGUAAAAGAGGACGGAGAUAUACGAGAAAUAGAAAAGAAAUACAGAGAAAAUUUAUUUUUCGAAGGUUUUCUACUUUGUUCAUCGUUUCUUUUUGUAUAUAUCUAUAUUAUUUUUCUUUUUAUUUUCGUUUUAGUUUACUUAAAACAACAAAGAAAAGAGAGGAAAAGGCUUGCCUUUAGCCGAAACCGUCGAAUCGGUCCCCCUCCGUCGCGAUCGGAGGUCGGGGCGUCGUCGGAGGCCGUGGAAUGGCUUGAGCGGUGGCGGCGGCGGCAUGGAAAAGAAACCCUAGCAGAGAGUUUCUCUGCUAUUGCUUUUAAAAAAGGGAAAAAAAUGAAUUUUGGUGAAAAUUUUGGCCUUUUAUAAUAAAAACAGAACGGCGCCGUUUUAGGGGCAGGAUCCACGCGUUGACCCGACCCGCAGGCAGGGUCCGCGCGUCCUGACCUUAGAUGGUCUAUUUGCGCGUUCAGUCCUUCAAUUUUUUAAAUCGCUUUCGAAUCAGUUUUUGUUUAUUUUUAAUUUGGCCUACAUAUUUCUGCCGUUGUUCAUUUUAGCCCAUAUCACUGCACACCGUUUUGGAGAGGUGGAUUAUUUCCGAUUUGGCCCUCCAUGUAACUCGCGUGUCGCGAUUUGGCCCAUUAGUUUGCCUAAAUUUCAUUUAUUUCUAGUUAUUUUAAUUUUUAACUAUUUGGUCCUUUUUUUUUUGCGAUUGGUUGUUUUUUCUUUAAUUUGUUUUCUCCCAUUAUUUAUUAUUAUUGUUAUAUUAUUUAUUACCAUCAUUAAUAUUAUAUGUAUUUUUAUAUAUAGUGCAUACGCAUAGUUUUUUUAAUAUAUAUAUAGGUAUAUUUUUAUAGUAUGCGUAUGUUAUAUAUUUUUCACAUGUUUUAUUUCUAUUUUAUUUCUUAAUCUCUAUAUAUAUAUACACUCUUAUAUUUUUGUUUCAAAUUUUUUUCUUUUUUUUUUAGACAUGUAUAUACAUAUGUAGUUUAAAUUGAAGUGAUGGUUUCAUGCCAUGCAUUAAUAUUGACCACAUUUCUAAAGAAAAUAUAUUUUGGUCUUGACAAAGUGAUUAAAUCAUCGUCUUUUAUAAAUUUUCAAAUAUUUGGCAUUUAUGAUUCUCGAGAAAAAAACGUAUCCUAACUUACUGGAUUGCGAUUAUUCUUCGAUGAAUUUAGAACGCUAAGUAUUCAUUUUGCAUUAAAUUCGCAAAUUUUAAAUAAAAGCUUAUUCUUGGGAGUUCAAAAUGUUGGGUCCUAACUUACUGGUCCUGAUAUUUUGACUUCUCGAAAUAAGAAUUUUCAAAAGCAAAAGGCAAUAUUCGGGUAUUUUGAAGAUUUAAAAACAUUGUGCCCUAACUCACUGGGUGUGGUGUUUUAUUUUUUUGAAAUAAGAAUGUCUUAUUAUUUUGAUUCAUUCACGAAAUAAAAAGUUUCCUUUUAAAAUCUUUUCAAAUUUUCGACACCAAGGCAUUAAAGAAUCAAUUUGGUACCGAUUUUGGGCGUUACGAGGGUGCUAAUCCUUCCUCGUGCGUAACUGACUCCCGGACUCAUUCUCUCAAAUUUCGUGGACCAAAAUCAUUUUUAAGGUGAGCCGAUCACACCUUAAUAAAGGAUCGGUGGCGACUCCAGUUUUUGUUUUUUUUAAGUCGACAACCAAAAUUUUUGUUUUCAAAAAAACGGUUUCGACAGCUUGGCGACUCCGCUGGGGACCUUAAAGAGUCAAGCCAUAAACUGAUUAUGUUUGUCUUUGUGUCGAAAAUAAAAUUUUUUAAAAAUUCAUGAGUUCCCUUCGCACUCAUUGACUUUUCAUCAUGGUAUGUUGGUAACUUUGCAUUUGCAUUUUGCAUUUUACCCUUAGGUGGGAGUGAGAAACUAGUCCUUCGUGAGGUUUUCACCUCCGUGCAGGGUAGUGGAUCGCUUCCGGGAUACAUCUGUACCUAUGUCUUCGUGAGAUUUUCAUCUCUCUACAGCCAUAGGGAAAUGUGUCCCCCUAAACUGAACUCGAUCCAUAUAAGCCUAUAAUGGGUGAGGAUCGAGGAAUCUGCUGGUUCGGGUACCCUUACUCUAGAAACUAAACCGCAUAUAGUGAACCUUAGGAACUUAUCCUAGGUAGAAUUACUCUAAACCUUAGUAGAUACCUGACUAGGAGUUUUUAUUAUUUCUUGAUUGUAUUGGAUUUAAUGUUUAUACCCGAUACUAACCCGUUUUGUUUUGUUUUGGUUAUGAUUGCAUUGCAUUUGCAUUUUAGAAAAGAGAUGUUGAUUCAAGUUUGAUUACUAAUUUAGAAAGCUUAUCAUAAGAAAACAUGUUUCUUGAUAAAAUGAAAAAUAGUACGGCAGCCUGAAUGUAUUCCAAGAAAUACAAGAAGGGCGAUGGAAGAAUUCGUGACUUUACUUCGAGGCCCGAGGAUUCAAGAUGAUUGUCUAAGAGCUUUCAACAUUCCAAAUUUCUUAAAGAAGCUAAUGAGCAUUGCGAGGAUAGGCAGACAACGGAUUGCGACCAAAAUCAAGCAGAAGGAGCUAGCAGUGACAUCCUUUGGAAGUUCACGAGGUUUAUCUUAACAUCCGGAUGAAGAAGAAGUAGAUGUAUUUGCUUGGAGUAUGAGGGCAAAGCCGUAUAUAUAUCCGCUUUAUGUAAAGAAAUUUGUCCUCUAGUAAAGUUUUCUAAAUGGAAUUGAAUCAGAAUUAACGUCUCUUUAUGCAUUCAUCUCAUGCAUCGCAUCAUAUGCAUUAAAAACUUUUAAUUGAUCCUAAUUAAUUAAAAUUAUUGCUCAGUUAACCUGGAAACCAACCAACCAACUCGACACCGAUACGUCACUCGAGCAAAGACAAAAGAUAUGGACCAGAGAUUAGAAAAGCUCGAACACUACCAGAAGAAGAUGCAAGACUGGCUUCAGCUACAAAUGCAGGAGCUGUUAGACAAGAUGAAACAAGAGAUGUCUGAGAAGAUGCGAGAAUCCCAAGAAGAUAUAGUGGCAAAGUUAACUCAACUGAUAACUAAGGGAAGUGAUAAAAGAAAGGGCCCCAUAGCAAAUGUUGAUGAGGGAAAUGAUGAUGAACCUCUCUAUCCUCCAGGUUUCACCUCUUCACAUAUGCGAACUCAAGCUGAAUACCCGCGUAAAUCUAAUGUCACCAUCAUGCCGCAACAAUUUCGAGCUGGUGUUUCGAGCUUUCAAGCUGGACCGGGAUUUAAUCCCAAAAAUAAUCCAAUUAACUCUGCCAUUCCUGACUUUGAUGAAGUGGUUGAGAAGGAAAGAAUGAAGGAGGAGUUACCGAAACAGUUAGAGGAAAGGUGUAGGUGGCUCGAGGAAAAGUUCGAGGCGAUGGAGGUAUCUGAGAGUUAUCGAGGCAUUGACGCCAAAGAGCUGAGUUUAGCGUCGGAUUUGGUACUCCCUCAUAAAUUUAAGAUGCCAGAAUUCGAGAAAUACAAUGGGACAACUUGCCCAGAGGCUCAUAUCACCAUGUUCUGUAGACGAAUGGCAGGAUAUGUUAACAAUGACCAGCUCUUGAUACAUUGUUUCCAAGACAGCCUUGCUGGGGCACCGUCCAAAUGGUACAAUCAGUUGAGUCGUGCCACGAUUGGUUCAUGGAGGGACUUGGUGCAAGCAUUCAUGAAACAAUAUAGUCAUGUGACAGACAUGGCUCCUGAUAGAAUCACCCUUCAAAACAUGGAGAAGAAGCCGAACGAAAGCUUUAGGCAGUACGCGCAGAUAUGGAGGGAGGUCGCAGUCCAAGUUCAGCCACCGCUCCUGGAAAAAGAAAUGACCAUGUUGUUCAUUAACACCUUGAAGGCACCGUUCAUUACACAUAUGCUAGGAAGUGCCACAAAAAGCUUUCCUGACAUAGUCAUGAAUGGCGAGAUGAUUGAGAAUGCCAUCAGGAGUGGGAAGAUUGAUGCGGAAGAGAGUAACAAGCGGUCAGCCUUAAGGAGAAGAGAAAUUGAGGUGAACAACACAGGUUAUUCUAAAUCAGUUACUGUAAGUCAUCCAGGAAAGGGGGUUGCUAGUCAACAAAGUUCAUUGAGAUAGGAAUCUGGAGUGAAACCAGGUACUGAGAAGCUCCAGUUCACGCCAAUUCCGAUGUCGUAUAAGGAGCUGUACCAAAGCUUAUUCGAUGCACACGUUGUUUCUCCUUCCUACAUAAAACCCCCACAACCCCCGUAUCCCAAGUGGUAUGAUGCGAACGCACAAUGUGACUAACAUGUAGGAAUUACAGGGCACUCAAUUGAGAAUUGCAUUACGUUCAAAAAGCUAGUUGAAAAACUUAUCAACAUGGGUGUUGUCAAGCUUGAUGACUCGUCUAGCGCAGGAAAUCCGCUACCCAAUCAUGUUUGAGGAUGAAGGGACUGCAAUGUAUGAAGAAGUGGUGAGAAAUUUGCACAUCGAUGCCAUAUAUGCGGACACAAUUAAAAGGGUCCUUGUUAGAUAUUCGCCUUAGAGGUGUUCUAAAUAAUGGGACUGCAGAGGAAACCCCUGAAGUAUUUAGAGUCUGUUAGAGUAAUGUUCAGAACACACUUGUUGCUUUCAGCCUAGAAGCAAUAAGGAUUUCUUUGUGAAAUAGGCUCACGUCUGAACAUUUUUAUUUUAAUGAAAUACAUUAUUGCAAUCAUCUUUGAGCAAAUGUUCUUUCAUUCUUUACGAUUUUUUUUAUUCUUUUGGAUUUUUUCUGCUAAACCAUUCAUUCAUUCAUCAUACAUUCUUUUGUAUAUUCUUUUUGGUACCCACUAUGAGUCCCCAAAUAUCAAUGACAUGAGUGACGCUGUUACAGACUCAAAAUUUCCUUUUGAGUGAGACAUGUGUUUAGAGGGAUCUCAUGACUUUGAAGAUGUCAUAAAUUGUAGCUUCUCUCCUAACUUGUUGAGGAUGGUAAAGCAAUAAGAGAAACAAAUGAGACAAUAGAGACUGUGACCUUGAUGGAGCAUGCAUGACCGAAGAAACAAAACAAGACGUUAUUGAGUUACUUCAAGAAUUCAAAGAUGUCUACGCAUGGUCAUAUCAGGAUUGCCCAGGUUAAGCAUUGUCAUUGCAAUUUAAACAACUACCCGAUAUCAGAAAUUCGUAGUAUGUUCAAGGCGAAUAUCAUGAAUGGUGUAAUGAAAACUCUAACGGGGCAAUGCCACUCUUUUCAGUUUAUCACAUUUUUUCUAUUGAAGUUGAAAUUCUUUCUCUCCGGAUAUUGGCUGAGCAAGUUGGAUGAAGCAGAACGGAUCCAAUCGCAAGGUGAUCAAUUGAACUUGAUAGAAGGAAAAAGGCUAGAAACUAUUCAUCAUGGUCAGAUGUACCAAGAAAUGAAUGAUGCAAGCCUAUAACAAAAGGUUCAUCCUAGAGAGUUCCACGAGGGUGACCAAAUGUUGAAGAUCCUCCAUCUACAAAAAAUAUUAUGGAGGGAAACGGAUGCCAAAUUGGGAAGAACCUUAUUAUUAUAGAGAAGGUUUUUUUUUCCAAAGGAGCUUUAAUUUUGAGCGAGAUGGAUGAUAAACCUGUAAAGUCCUGUAAACUCAGAUUCAGUCAGGAAAUUCUCCGCUUAGAGAAGGAGAGGACCAAGGUAAAAACUCGCAAAGGGAAGUUUGAGUCAAAAAAAAAGUGAUGUGAAAAAUGAAAAGAUGAAAAUGAAAAAUGAAAAAAGAAAAUAGAGAGGCUAAGGUGAAAACCCGCAAAGGGCGCCUUAGACCAAAGGGGAUUUGAGUUGAAAACCCAAAAAGGGCGGCUCAAAUGUUAACCAAAAUGGCGUUUGAAAUUUUCAGAGCAGCUCAAAUACUGAUCAGAGCGGGGCAUACAGUGGUUCUGCUAUACCUGAAUCAAUAGGAAAGGGUAAGCGACAUCUUGGGGCAUCGACAAAGUACUAUAGAUCUCCUAAACACAUGUUAAGCUCAGAAUGGUUUUCAGAAAGUUUGUACAGAGAAGUUCAAGCUGCGAUGUCUGGGGCACCUAAUCCUUAUACCAUUUUUGCUAUUCUUGGAACACUUCAUUCAUUGCCAAGAUACGCAUUCCUAAAUCAAUUUCUUUGUUAUCCAUCUUUAUUAUCCUUGAUAAUUUAUUCAUUUCAAGCUAUGCUCAGAGCCAACUCUAUUCUUAUCCAUGAUAUUUUUGCAAGUAUGUGGCAUUAGAAUAAUGAUUAAUAGACUAAUAAAACUUUCACAAGAGGAGUUUUGCAUAUUACUCUAGAAGCUUCUAAAUAAUAUAGGAACCUCAAACAGGACUAUUAUUUAGAACGUACCAGGUUUAAGGGUGGGAAAUCCAAUAAAAAAAGUCUAAACUAAAAAGUCUAAACUAAGACUAUCCCUUUGAAUUUUAUUGUCUAAAGUAUUGAUUGAACAAAAUGGCAAGAUGUCGUGUUGGUGACAAAGCUUCAAUGAACAAGCAAGCAAUUAUCACCGAAUAAUAAUAAGAAGUUGUUAUUGAAGAAGAUUUUUUCAUUUAUGCAUGAGCAUUUGGUACAACACCCUGGGAAUGGUGUAAGAGACCAAAAAGUUUCACAUACUGUAUCAUUGAACUGUGAUAACAGAGGAUUAAGAAAAGGCCAAAUCUUUUACUCUUGGGUUACAACGGGAAAAGAUGGUACAAAUUUUACAUCCCAAUGGAUCAAACUUGGAGGUUUACAGUGGGGGGCAAUUUGGUCAACUGUCUCUUUGAAGACGCCAGCCGAGCAAGAAGGCGCUAUAGCACAUUAGCGAUGAAACUUAAUAAACUUUGAGCAAUGAUAACCUAAGAAGGAUCAUUCUUGAAAAAAUAUAAAAUAAAAUUCUGCAUUCAUGCAAACACCAUUCACACAUGUCUAGUUAGGAGCAUUUGAUUCAUUUUGAUCAUGUCAUCCUAAUCAUUAAGCAUAAUUAGGUUCAUUAUACAGGUCAUGUUCCCUAGAGAACAGAUCAGUGAAGAUUUUAGAUUUUGCCUUCCUGUAUAGAUAGCGAAGCAGAUCGAAGAUGGCAGAUUUUACCUCCUUGUGGUUACAGUGGAGUACAUUGAAGCCAGUAAUUCUACUUCCUUGGACAGCAGUGGAAUAGAUUAAAGAUUUCAGAUCUUGUCUCCCUAAGCAGUAGUGGAGCAAAUAAAAAAUGGCAGAUUUUACCUCCCUGUGGUUAUAGUGGAGUACAUUAAAGCCAGUAAUUCUACUUCCCUGGGCAGCAGUGGAAUAGAUUGAAGGUUUUAGAUCUUGCCUUCCUGCAUAUACAGCGGAGCAGAUCGAAGAUGGCGGAUUUUACCUCCUCGUGGUUACAGUGGAGUAUAUUGAAGCCAGUAAUUCUACUUCCCUGGACAGCAGUGGAAUAGAUUGAAGAUUUCAGACCUUGUCUCCCUAAGCAGUAGUGGAGCAAAUAAAAAAUGGCAGAUUUUACCUCCCUGUGGUUACAGUGGAGUAUAUUGAAGCCAGUAAUUCUACUUCCCUGGGCAGCAGUGGAAUAGAUUGAAGAUUACAGAUCUUGUCUCCCUAAGCAGUAGUAGAGCAGAUCAAAGAUGGCAGAUUUUACCUCCCUAUGGUUACAGCGGAGUACAUUGAAGCCAGUAAUUCUACUUCCCUCGGCAGCAGCGGAAUAGAUUGAAGAUUUCAGAUCGUCUCCCUAAGCAGUAGUGGGGCAGAUCAAAGAUGGCAGAUUUUACCUCCCUGAGGUUGCAGUGGAGUACAUUGAAGCCAGUAAUUCUACUUUCCUGGGCAGCAGUGGAAUAGAUUGAAGAUUUCAUAUCUUGUCUCCCUAAACAGUAAUGGAGCAGAUCAAAGAUGGUGAAUUUUACCUCCCUGUGGUUACAGUGGAGUACAUUGAAGCCAAUAAUUCUAUCUCCCUGAACAGCAGUGGAGUAGAUUGAAAACCACAAGAUCUUAUCUAGCUGAAGUUGCAGAGAGCAGAUCGCAGCAAGUUUUAUCUAUCUGAAGUUGCAGUGGAGUAGACAAAGCCAGUAAUCCUAUCUCCCUGAAGUGGCAGUGGAGCGGAUUAAAACCACAGAUCUCAUCUCUCUGAAGUUGCUGUAGAGCAGAUCGCGUCAGAUUUAUCCUUAAGUUGUAGCAGAGCAAAUUGAAGCUACAGGUCUUAUCUCCUUGAAGUUGCAGUGGAGCAGAUUAAAGAUAGCAAAUUUAGUUCUUUUGAGAAGCUACAACAUACGAAUCCUAUCUCUCUGACAUACAUUGCAAUGGAGUAGAUUGAAGCACCAGUUCCUAUACCUCUGAAGAUGCAGUAGGAAGGAAUGAGGCUAUUUGAAGUAAAGAAGUACUGAAGAAGUCGAGGCUCAGUAAGACCGAGCACAAUUGGGCUUUUAGUCUUUGCUCUAUUCCCGUUACACGACAAUGAGCAAAGAGGGGCAGCUGUACAAACCCAAUAAUGUCCGGGCCCAACUAAACCUAGAAUGGCCCAACACCUGACCCAAACUAAACAGCCCACUAACUAAAUUCCAGCAGCAACCCUAGCAGCAUACAACCUUCAACCCUAGCCGCCGCACAUCAGCCCUGCACCACCACCAUUUGCGCAUGUACGUGUCCCACGUACAUCCCCAGUUGGCUGAAUCUGCGCAACAAACGGCAAAACAGACGCAAAGAACAAGUAAACGAAAGAGAAAAACGCAAAAAAGGAGAGAAUAACGGAAAUACAAAGUUGUUGUGUUAUUUCUUUGAUUUUUUCUUUAUUUUUUCGGCUAUAUAAAGUCGAGGAAAUCUGUAAAUAUGGGGGGAUUUUUGGUGUAAAAGAGGACGGAGAUAUACGAGAAAUAGAAAAGAAAUACAGAGAAAAUUUAUUUUUCGAAGGUUUUCUACUUUGUUCAUCGUUUCUUUUUGUAUAUAUCUAUAUUAUUUUUCCUUUUAUUUUCGUUUUAGUUUACUUAAAACAACAAAGAAAAGAGAGGAAAAGGCUUGCCUUUAGCCGAAACCGUCGAAUCGGUCCCCCUCCGUCGCGAUCGGAGGUCGGGGCGUCGUCGGAGGCCGUGGAAUGGCUUGAGCGGUGGCGGCGGCGGCAUGGAAAAGAAACCCUAGCAGAGAGUUUCUCUGCUAUUGCUUUUAAAAAAGGGAAAAAAAUGAAUUUUGG
rnacentral:lncRNA from 1 species